UGACAAUUCGUAAAGCCUGUUUAUUAUGAACACAUUAUCAUUAGUUUGUAAAUUUGCAAAUUCUGGGUCCAAAAUGAAUAUUACAGCUUAUCAGAACAAGAUAUGCAGAUAAAGAACCGAGACACAGAGGGCGGCCACAGCAUUACCAAACACAAGUUUGAAAUCUUGGCCAUCUCUGUGUUCGAUAUCACUUGGCUUCUUGGUUUCUUUUUUGCAACAUUCAUGUACCCUUUAAGCCCACAGGACCGGUGAUACUCCAUGUGCUUGUGGUUGAUCUGUAUGCAUGACACUGUUAGUUAGAAUUGAAUUAUUGGUGAAGCUGAAGCUGCAGAGGAAACCAAUAAUGGUAGGUCCCAAGAAAUUAGCUGCCACGGCGUUAGAUUUCAAAUGUUUCUG
rnacentral:lncRNA from 1 species